CACGGUGGAUGCCUUGGCACUAGAAGCCGAUGAAGGACGUUACUAACGACGAUAUGCUUUGGGGAGCUGUAAGUAAGCUUUGAUCCAGAGAUUUCCGAAUGGGGAAACCCAGCAUGAGUUAUGUCAUGUUAUCGAUAUGUGAAUACAUAGCAUAUCAGAAGGCACACCCGGAGAACUGAAACAUCUUAGUACCCGGAGGAAGAGAAAGAAAAUUCGAUUCCCUUAGUAGCGGCGAGCGAAACGGGAAGAGCCCAAACCAACAAGCUUGCUUGUUGGGGUUGUAGGACACUCUAUACGGAGUUACAAAGGACGACAUUAGACGAAUCAUCUGGAAAGAUGAAUCAAAGAAGGUAAUAAUCCUGUAGUCGAAAAUGUUGUCUCUCUUGAGUGGAUCCUGAGUACGACGGAGCACGUGAAAUUCCGUCGGAAUCUGGGAGGACCAUCUCCUAAGGCUAAAUACUCUCUAGUGACCGAUAGUGAACCAGUACCGUGAGGGAAAGGUGAAAAGCACCCCGGAAGGGGAGUGAAAUAGAACCUGAAACCGUGUGCUUACAAGUAGUCAGAGCCCGUUAAUGGGUGAUGGCGUGCCUUUUGUAGAAUGAACCGGCGAGUUACGAUUUGAUGCAAGGUUAAGCAGUAAAUGUGGAGCCGUAGCGAAAGCGAGUCUGAAUAGGGCGUUUAGUAUUUGGUCGUAGACCCGAAACCAGGUGAUCUACCCUUGGUCAGGUUGAAGUUCAGGUAACACUGAAUGGAGGACCGAACCGACUUACGUUGAAAAGUGAGCGGAUGAACUGAGGGUAGCGGAGAAAUUCCAAUCGAACCUGGAGAUAGCUGGUUCUCUCCGAAAUAGCUUUAGGGCUAGCCUCAAGUGAUGAUUAUUGGAGGUAGAGCACUGUUUGGACGAGGGGCCCCUCUCGGGUUACCGAAUUCAGACAAACUCCGAAUGCCAAUUAAUUUAACUUGGGAGUCAGAACAUGGGUGAUAAGGUCCGUGUUCGAAAGGGAAACAGCCCAGACCACCAGCUAAGGUCCCAAAAUAUAUGUUAAGUGGAAAAGGAUGUGGCGUUGCCCAGACAACUAGGAUGUUGGCUUAGAAGCAGCCAUCAUUUAAAGAGUGCGUAAUAGCUCACUAGUCGAGUGACACUGCGCCGAAAAUGUACCGGGGCUAAACAUAUUACCGAAGCUGUGGAUUGUCCUUUGGACAAUGGUAGGAGAGCGUUCUAAGGGCGUUGAAGCAUGAUCGUAAGGACAUGUGGAGCGCUUAGAAGUGAGAAUGCCGGUGUGAGUAGCGAAAGACGGGUGAGAAUCCCGUCCACCGAUUGACUAAGGUUUCCAGAGGAAGGCUCGUCCGCUCUGGGUUAGUCGGGUCCUAAGCUGAGGCCGACAGGCGUAGGCGAUGGAUAACAGGUUGAUAUUCCUGUACCACCUAUAAUCGUUUUAAUCGAUGGGGGGACGCAGUAGGAUAGGCGAAGCGUGCGAUUGGAUUGCACGUCUAAGCAGUAAGGCUGAGUAUUAGGCAAAUC
rnacentral:rRNA from 1 species